rnacentral:rRNA from 1 species
UAGGGAAUCUUCCACAAUGGGCGCAAGCCUGAUGGAGCAACACCGCGUGGGUGAAGAAGGGUUUCGGCUCGUAAAGCUCUGUUGUUAAAGAAGAACACGUAUGAGAGUAACUGUUCAUACGUUGACGGUAUUUAACCAGAAAGUCACGGCUAACUACGUACCAG